rnacentral:tRNA from 3 species
GCCCCGGUGGUGGAAUUGGUAGACACGCCGGACUUAAAAUCCUGUGGACAGUAAUGUCCGUGCCGGUUCGACCCCGGCCCGGGGCAC